GAUGAACGCUGGCGGCGUGCCUAAUACAUGCAAGUCGAGCGAACAGACGAGGAGCUUGCUCCUCUGACGUUAGCGGCGGACGGGUGAGUAACACGUGGAUAACCUACCUAUAAGACUGGGAUAACUUCGGGAAACCGGAGCUAAUACCGGAUAAUAUAUUGAACCGCAUGGUUCAAAAGUGAAAGACGGUUUUGCUGUCACUUAUAGAUGGAUCCACGCCGCAUUAGCUAGUUGGUAAGGUAACGGCUUACCAAGGCAACGAUGCGUAGCCGACCUGAGAGGGUGAUCGGCCACACUGGAACUGAGACACGGUCCAGACUCCUACGGGAGGCAGCAGUAGGGAAUCUUCCGCAAUGGGCGAAAGCCUGACGGAGCAACGCCGCGUGAGUGAUGAAGGUCUUCGGAUCGUAAAACUCUGUUAUUAGGGAAGAACAAAUGUGUAAGUAACUAUGCACGUCUUGACGGUACCUAAUCAGAAAGCCACGGCUAACUACGUG
rnacentral:rRNA from 1 species